AGGGGCAUAGCUCAAGUGGUAGAGCACAUACUUUGCAUGCAUGAGGUCCUGGGUUCAAUCCCCGGUACCUCCU
rnacentral:tRNA from 1 species